GUGGAGCAGCCUCAGUAUAAGAGGAGCAGGGCUAGCAGUUGCUGCAGGGGUGUUGUUGGGGUAACAUUGCCCAGCUUGAGAUCUGCUGCUCCCAGAACACUUGGAGGAGAAGAGUAGGAACUAUGGGGAUGGAGGAGGUUCCUGGUCCUGGGCCAUGACCUGAAACUACACCUUGCUGGGGUUGGAUGAUUCAUAAAUUGUAAGGCUGGAAGGGACCUUGGAAGAUCAUCGGAUCCAGCCCCCUGCACCAAGCAUGAAAGAUAACUGGGGGUCAGGUGACCCCAGCAAGCUGACUGUCUAAUCUCCUCUUGAAGAUUUCCAGGAUAAUCUUCAAAGUUGCUGGAGCCUUACCGAAGGAUGAAUCAAUGGACACUGAAGCUGUUAUUUCUUUUAGAGAAUAGCAGGACUGGUCUCUUGUCUUCUCUCACUGCGCAAGUUAGU